rnacentral:rRNA from 1 species
AGCGUACACGGUGGAUGCCCUGGCAGUCAGAGGCGAUGAAGGACGUGCUAAUCUGCGAUAAGCGUCGGUAAGGUGAUAUGAACCGUUAUAACCGGCGAUUUCCGAAUGGGGAAACCCAGUGUGUUUCGACACACUAUCAUUAACUGAAUCCAUAGGUUAAUGAGGCGAACCGGGGGAACUGAAACAUCUAAGUACCCCGAGGAAAAGAAAUCAACCGAGAUUCCCCCAGUAGCGGCGAGCGAACGGGGAGCAGCCCAGAGCCUGAAUCAGUGUGUGUGUUAGUGGAAGCGUCUGGAAAGGCGCGCGAUACAGGGUGACAGCCCCGUACACAAAAAUGCACAUACUGUGAGCUCGAUGAGUAGGGCGGGACACGUGGUAUCCUGUCUGAAUAUGGGGGGACCAUCCUCCAAGGCUAAAUACUCCUGACUGACCGAUAGUGAACCAGUACCGUGAGGGAAAGGCGAAAAGAACCCCGGCGAGGGGAGUGAAAAAGAACCUGAAACCGUGUACGUACAAGCAGUGGGAGCACGCUUAGGCGUGUGACUGCGUACCUUUUGUAUAAUGGGUCAGCGACUUAUAUUCUGUAGCAAGGUUAACCGAAUAGGGGAGCCGAAGGGAAACCGAGUCUUAACUGGGCGUUAAGUUGCAGGGUAUAGACCCGAAACCCGGUGAUCUAGCCAUGGGCAGGUUGAAGGUUGGGUAACACUAACUGGAGGACCGAACCGACUAAUGUUGAAAAAUUAGCGGAUGACUUGUGGCUGGGGGUGAAAGGCCAAUCAAACCGGGAGAUAGCUGGUUCUCCCCGAAAGCUAUUUAGGUAGCGCCUCGUGAAUUCAUCUCCGGGGGUAGAGCACUGUUUCGGCAAGGGGGUCAUCCCGACUUACCAACCCGAUGCAAACUGCGAAUACCGGAGAAUGUUAUCACGGGAGACACACGGCGGGUGCUAACGUCCGUCGUGAAGAGGGAAACAACCCAGACCGCCAGCUAAGGUCCCAAAGUCAUGGUUAAGUGGGAAACGAUGUGGGAAGGCCCAGACAGCCAGGAUGUUGGCUUAGAAGCAGCCAUCAUUUAAAGAAAGCGUAAUAGCUCACUGGUCGAGUCGGCCUGCGCGGAAGAUGUAACGGGGCUAAACCAUGCACCGAAGCUGCGGCAGCGACGCUGAUGCGUUGUUGGGUAGGGGAGCGUUCUGUAAGCCUGCGAAGGUGUGCUGUGAGGCAUGCUGGAGGUAUCAGAAGUGCGAAUGCUGACAUAAGUAACGAUAAAGCGGGUGAAAAGCCCGCUCGCCGGAAGACCAAGGGUUCCUGUCCAACGUUAAUCGGGGCAGGGUGAGUCGACCCCUAAGGCGAGGCCGAAAGGCGUAGUCGAUGGGAAACAGGUUAAUAUUCCUGUACUUGGUGUUACUGCGAAGGGGGGACGGAGAAGGCUAUGUUGGCCGGGCGACGGUUGUCCCGGUUUAAGCGUGUAGGCUGGUUUUCCAGGCAAAUCCGGAAAAUCAAGGCUGAGGCGUGAUGACGAGGCACUACGGUGCUGAAGCAACAAAUGCCCUGCUUCCAGGAAAAGCCUCUAAGCAUCAGGUAACAUCAAAUCGUACCCCAAACCGACACAGGUGGUCAGGUAGAGAAUACCAAGGCGCUUGAGAGAACUCGGGUGAAGGAACUAGGCAAAAUGGUGCCGUAACUUCGGGAGAAGGCACGCUGAUAUGUAGGUGAAGUCCCUCGCGGAUGGAGCUGAAAUCAGUCGAAGAUACCAGCUGGCUGCAACUGUUUAUUAAAAACACAGCACUGUGCAAACACGAAAGUGGACGUAUACGGUGUGACGCCUGCCCGGUGCCGGAAGGUUAAUUGAUGGGGUUAGCGCAAGCGAAGCUCUUGAUCGAAGCCCCGGUAAACGGCGGCCGUAACUAUAACGGUCCUAAGGUAGCGAAAUUCCUUGUCGGGUAAGUUCCGACCUGCACGAAUGGCGUAAUGAUGGCCAGGCUGUCUCCACCCGAGACUCAGUGAAAUUGAACUCGCUGUGAAGAUGCAGUGUACCCGCGGCAAGACGGAAAGACCCCGUGAACCUUUACUAUAGCUUGACACUGAACAUUGAGCCUUGAUGUGUAGGAUAGGUGGGAGGCUUUGAAGUGUGGACGCCAGUCUGCAUGGAGCCGACCUUGAAAUACCACCCUUUAAUGUUUGAUGUUCUAACGUGGACCCGUAAUCCGGGUUGCGGACAGUGUCUGGUGGGUAGUUUGACUGGGGCGGUCUCCUCCUAAAGAGUAACGGAGGAGCACGAAGGUUGGCUAAUCCUGGUCGGACAUCAGGAGGUUAGUGCAAUGGCAUAAGCCAGCUUGACUGCGAGCGUGACGGCGCGAGCAGGUGCGAAAGCAGGUCAUAGUGAUCCGGUGGUUCUGAAUGGAAGGGCCAUCGCUCAACGGAUAAAAGGUACUCCGGGGAUAACAGGCUGAUACCGCCCAAGAGUUCAUAUCGACGGCGGUGUUUGGCACCUCGAUGUCGGCUCAUCACAUCCUGGGGCUGAAGUAGGUCCCAAGGGUAUGGCUGUUCGCCAUUUAAAGUGGUACGCGAGCUGGGUUUAGAACGUCGUGAGACAGUUCGGUCCCUAUCUGCCGUGGGCGCUGGAGAACUGAGGGGGGCUGCUCCUAGUACGAGAGGACCGGAGUGGACGCAUCACUGGUGUUCGGGUUGUCAUGCCAAUGGCACUGCCCGGUAGCUAAAUGCGGAAGAGAUAAGUGCUGAAAGCAUCUAAGCACGAAACUUGCCCCGAGAUGAGUUCUCCCUGACUCCUUGA